AUUAAUCAUAAUGAAACUACCAUUUAUCGAACACUUACUAGAGUAGAUAAUAAUUACAUUAAGAAGCCCGUUGAGUUCUCAGCUUUGAAAACAGGUACAAAUACUCCCAUUUUACAGAUAAGGAAACAGAGUCUCAGAGAGGUUAAAACAGCCAACCCGAAUUCACGCCGUGACUAAGUGGCAGAGACAGGAUUGUAAACCAGGUUCGAGGUGUUUCCGGAGCCUCUGCCCUUAACCACUACAAUUUACGGACUCACCAGCUCCCCACUUUUCUGUGCAGCCUCUUUCUUCCCUCUUUCCCCUCUACCUCCUCUCUCCCAUUCCUAAAAGCGUCUUUAUGCCCUAGCCUUGAAAAUGUCUCUUUUGGAAACCACAGGUAGAUAAAAGAAAUCUGGCUGGAUGUUCUCCGCAGGCUUGGGCAGGUCACGAGUGUGGCUGGGGAGGUGUGAGACAGAGGGAGCUGAGGGGCUGCCCCACCGGACUGUACUCGCGGCCCCCCACCGUCCCGCCCCAGACCAGAGCUGGCAGGGCCCGGGAACAGGUCUGUGGGAGAGGAGACGUUCCCUCUGCUUUUCAGCUUCCCAGUCCCUGGACUCCUCCCUUUGACGGUGAUGUUUUCCACCCCAGAUCUUGGAUGGCUUGGGGGUUGGCCAGAGGCGGGAGGGAGAGGGGGCCCAACCGGAAAGGGUAGUGGGGAGAGGAGGAAGAGUGAGAAAAGAAAAGCAGCUGGAGCUCAUCUCCUGGGGACUGGCCAAGAAGGAGGCCCGGGCCCUGGGAAAUCGGCUUGUCUCCCGUUCCGUACCCUCCUCCCAGCUUCCUUUCCAGUCCCUGUGCCCCAAGGACUUCGAGCACGUGUGGCAGCUCCCCACAGCGGGCGCUGCAGACGUCCCAGCAGACAUGGAGACCCCCGCUGGGAGAGAAGAUGUGCUUCCAAGCUGCGAGGAGCCAGUUGCCAAAACUUAGAGAUGUCCUUCCAAGUGUCGACGUGCAAAUCAGGAAACAAAAAAAAUCUCCGGGCGUGCGUGACUCCAGUCAGCAGAGCAGUGUGGCCAGCAAAUAUGUGGAUGCUUAGAGAUAGAGGGACAGUGAAAGUACCUGACUUGGCUCCCCCUGAAAGCCAGCUUCUCUGAGAAACCUUCCCGUUGCCGGUUCCGCCUAUUGGCUGCUGCCGCUUCUGAGCUUUUCUGGGAACUUCACAGUUCACACUACUCCACACGUAUGGGUAAGUCUGUUAGUUCCUUUUCUCACUUUAUUAUUGUCGUUUUUCUCACAUCUCACUUGCUGUGACCUCAG
rnacentral:lncRNA from 1 species